rnacentral:rRNA from 1 species
CCCUCCCUCUUUCUUCCUGCCUAACACAUGCAAGUCGAACGAGACCUUCGGGUCUAGUGGCGCACGGGUGCGUAACGCGUGGGAACCUGCCCUUAGGUUCGGAAUAACUCCCCGAAAGGGGUGCUAAUACCGGAUAAUGUCUUCGGACCAAAGAUUUAUCGCCUUUGGAUGGGCCCGCGUUGGAUUAGCUAGUUGGUAGGGUAAAAGCCUACCAAGGCGACGAUCCAUAGCUGGUCUGAGAGGAUGAUCAGCCACACUGGGACUGAGACACGGCCCAGACUCCUACGGGAGGCAGCAGUGGGGAAUAUUGGACAAUGGGCGAAAGCCUGAUCCAGCAAUGCCGCGUGAGUGAUGAAGGCCUUAGGGUUGUAAAGCUCUUUUACCCGGGAUGAUAAUGACAGUACCGGGAGAAUAAGCUCCGGCGAACUCCGU